GGGGAAUAUUGCACAAUGGGCGCAAGCCUGAUGCAGCCAUGCCGCGUGUAUGAAGAAGGCCUGGUUGUAAGUACUUUCAGCAGUGAGGAAGGUUCAUACGUUAAUAGCGUAUGGA
rnacentral:rRNA from 1 species